rnacentral:rRNA from 1 species
UACGUAGGUGGCGAGCGUUGUCCGGAAUUAUUGGGCGUAAAGAGCAUGUAGGCAGUUUUUUAAGUCUGGAGUGAAAAUGCGGGGCUCAACCCCGUAUGGCUCUGGAUACUGGAAGACUUGAGUGCAGGAGAGGAAAGGGGAAUUCCCAGUGUAGCGGUGAAAUGCGUAGAUAUUGGGAGGAACACCAGUGGCGAAGGCGCCUUUCUGGACUGUGUCUGACGCUGAGAUGCGAAAGCCAGGGUAGCGAACGGG